CGCGCAGUCGUGAGCCAAUCCGCUCUUUCAGCGAAAAUUUAUACCAGUGCCCCAAAUUUACAUAACGUUACUCCUACAACUAACCUUUAAGAGGAGAGCGUAAAACAGAAGCUAUAUUCGUCUUAGCGCACCAGCACUAAUUAAUUGUACAGUAAAAGUGUUUUAAUGGUUUAUUCAUAUUGAAUAUUGUUAUGUAUCUAUUAGAAUACCCUAUAAUUACAGCAAUUUCUCUUAUGAAGCUAGAUUGAUUGACAUGUUUUUUAAACGUGUUGUACUAAAUGUGUUUAUACUUAUGUUUUAGACAAUGGACUUUUUUGUGAAGGAAAAAUUACAACAAUAGAAUUUCUGCCUGUUAACUGAAACAUUUCAAGGCCUUCGUGCAGAAAUUGUCUUUUAAACCCUUCCUGCCAUCUGCACCAUACCACACAAAUGGAAAAAUGGUGUGCACAUCAUACACGGAAAUGAAGCGGUCCUUCAUUGACAUUCAACCUGUUGGCACUAAUUAGUGCUGUACUUGAAUCAUGAGACAAGCCAGAAUCCACAUGUCCUGGUGCUUGGUGACAAGGAAAACUCCUCCCAAGAUUUUAUUAUUUUAAACGGGGAGGCGAUGGAACAGGAGACGAUACUACAAGCAGUCGAUCUGUGUUUCAAACUUUUCUUUGUAUAUGACAUCUACUACCUAAAGCCCUCUGCUCCCAUUUGAGAGUUUUUGGAACACACA